AAAUUCUCCUUCCAACACACCAAAUCCAUAUGAACAAGGCAUCUCGAUUAUUGGGCGAACACUAUCGAAAUUCGAUGAAGAUAAUCUGAUUCCAUGUUUCGGAUUUGGAGAUGCAUCAACGCAUGAUCAAGACGUCUUUGUUUCUCUCCUGACGAGAAACCUUGUAAUGGAUCUGAAGAAACUUUUGGACAAUGCAGGGAACUUGUACCACAUUUUCGUUUAGCUCGGAAGUUGUUAUGCCUUGUUCAUCCAUUUAAUUGCAUUGUUCAUAUGUGUUUACACUAAUUCUUAACAGGAUCAACACCCUUUGCACCAAUGUGAAGCAAAGUGGUGGACAAUACCAAGUCCUGUUGAUAAUUGCAGAUGGGAAGUUGCAGGACGCCAUGGCAGCCUUGCCCCGCUCCCCCAACAGCGCCCGCCUGCCCCUUUCCUUGCGCGACGCGAGAUGGAUCGGUGAAUCCAUGGCAGCUUGGUGGAGCACGACGUCCUUUUUGAAAAUGGUUUGGUCAUACACAAACUUGUGGGGUGAAAUUUCGGCUUUGGCCUCCUUCUGCGAGGUGGAUUUGGAUAGCGCGGUGCAGAAAAAAUGGCGGCUUCAGCUCUCCACCUCUGCCGCCUCCCCAAGCCACGGCAGGUGUGAAGCUUCAGCAGAGGCAGUUGCGCCCGAUGAGCCAUGUGGGACCUUUUACUGCACCCUUCUUCUUCUACUCCCUUCUCGUUGCAUUCCUGUUCUUUUCGCUUGUGCGAAUGGCAGAGCUACGCUUACUAGGGUGCUGCCCUGUGUGCCCCACCCAGGACACAGUAUGCUGCUCACCAUGGCGCUGCGCUGUGACUCAGCAAAGUGGCAAGAUGCAAGGCUUGCCGAGCUGCCUAGCCAUUAUAAUGCUUGGUCCUUGAAUUGAAGUCAAUUGAUUUCCGAUUUAAUAAGGCACAGUUUGUUUGAGCUUCUGCUGUCGUCUUCACAUAUUUUAAUUUUUAAUGCAUGUGGGGAUUACUGAAAUUGUUGUGCAGACAUGUGUUUUGAGAUUGUGUGCUAUUUGUGCCUGAUUUUAUUGCACAGGCAGGGUGGUCUAUCUCAAAGAUUUUUGAAAGUUGUUUCUUAUUAUGGUCUCACGACUCUGCCAUAUAAACUGGUCUGUAAGCUUGUUGGUGCCAAUCUCAGAAGGUUUGUGUGCUGUCAUUAAAGGAAUAUCCAAAUUUUAACUUUGUUAAACUUUGUUCUCUGGUACAAUGUCCAGGAUGCUCUGGAACCUUACAUGAGAAAGAGAACAGUUGAACUUCACUAGGGUAAGCACCAUCAAGAUUACGUGGAUGGCUUGAAUAAGUAGCUGGCUACCAGCCCUCUGUAUGUAUAUACACCCUGGACGAUCUGAUAAAAGAAGCCCACAACAAUGGUCUCGAAUCAUCACUUUUUCUGGGAAUCGAUGCAACCAGAAGGUGGUGGCUUACCUGAGGGAGGUGUGCUAUAGCAGAUUGAAAAGGAUUUUGGCUUGUUUACUAAUUUUAGGGAAGAGUUUAUUCGUUCAGCCUUACAACUAUUGGGGUCUGGUUGGGUUUGGCUUGCUUUGAAGAGAAAUAAGAGAAAGCUUUCAGUAGUUCAUACACGAAACAUUAUCUACCCACUUGCUUUUGGUAUAUUGUAUGUUCAUACACAAUGAAUGAUAUAGAACCACCAAAGAGUUGAUUGUAUAUUGAUCCUUUUUCUGCUUCAUAUAUCUGAACUCUACAAUGUGAGGUAGGUAGCAUUUGAGAAUUCUUUUUCUAAUUGUUCAAGCAAACUGGAUGUGCACACAGUAACUGCAUUAGUAGACGUGAUGCCUUCAUUCUC